rnacentral:rRNA from 1 species
AGAGUGAACGCUGGCGGUAGGCCUAACACAUGCAAGUCGAACGGCAGCACAGUAGGAGCUUGCUCUUACGGGUGGCGAGUGGCGGACGGGUGAGGAAUACAUCGGAAUCUACCUUUUGGUGGGGGAUAACGUAGGGAAACUUACGCUAAUACCGCAUACGCCCUUCGGGGGAAAGCCGGGGACCAGCAAUGGCCUGGCGCUGAUAGAUGAG